GACGAACGCUGGCGGCGUGCCUAAUACAUGCAAGUAGAACGCACAGGAUGCACCGUAGUUUACUACACCGUAUUCUGUGAGUUGCGAACGGGUGAGUAACGCGUAGGUAACCUGCCUGGUAGCGGGGGAUAACUAUUGGAAACGAUAGCUAAUACCGCAUAAGAACAUUUACUGCAUGGUAGAUGUUUAAAAGGUGCAAAUGCAUCACUACCAGAUGGACCUGCGUUGUAUUAGCUAGUAGGUGAGGUAACGGCUCACCUAGGCGACGAUACAUAGCCGACCUGAGAGGGUGAUCGGCCACACUGGGACUGAGACACGGCCCAGACUCCUACGGGAGGCAGCAGUAGGGAAUCUUCGGCAAUGGGGGGAACCCUGACCGAGCAACGCCGCGUGAGUGAAGAAGGUUUUCGGAUCGUAAAGCUCUGUUGUUAAGGAAGAACGAGUGUGAGAAUGGAAAGUUCAUACUGUGACGGACUAACCAGAAAGGAC
rnacentral:rRNA from 1 species